rnacentral:rRNA from 1 species
GACGAACGCUGGCGGCGUGCUUAACACAUGCAAGUCGAACGGAAAGGCCCUGCUUUUGUGGGGUGCUCGAGUGGCGAACGGGUGAGUAACACGUGAGUAACCUGCCCUUGACUUUGGGAUAACUUCAGGAAACUGGGGCUAAUACCGGAUAGGAGCUCCUGCUGAAUGGUGGGGGUUGGAAAGUUUCGGCGGUUGGGGAUGGACUCGCGGCUUAUCAGCUUGUUGGUGGGGUAGUGGCUUACCAAGGCUUUGACGGGUAGCCGGCCUGAGAGGGUGACCGGCCACAUUGGGACUGAGAUACGGCCCAGACUCCUACGGGAGGCAGCAGUGGGGAAUAUUGCACAAUGGGCGGAAGCCUUAUGCAGCAACGCCGCGUGCGGGAUGACGGCCGUCGGGUUGUAAACCGCUUUCGCCUGUGACGAAGCGUGAGUGACGGUAAUGGGUAAAGAAGCACCGGCUAACUACGUG